GCGCCCGUAGCUCAAUUGGACAGAGCUACAGACUUCGGAUCUGUGGGUUGCAGGUUCGAGCCCUGCCGGGCGCGCCA
rnacentral:tRNA from 1 species